rnacentral:rRNA from 1 species
UGAUCUGAAAUCAGGUAGGAUUACCCGCUGAACUUAA